CGGGUGAGUAAUGCGUGAGGAACCUGCCUCAAAGAGGGGGACAACAGUUGGAAACGACUGCUAAUACCGCAUAAGCCCACGGCUCGGCAUCGAGCAGAGGGAAAAGGAGCAAUCCGCUUUGAGAUGGCCUCGCGUCCGAUUAGCUAGUUGGUGAGGUAACGGCCCACCAAGGCGACGAUCGGUAGCCGGACUGGGAGGUUGAACGGCCACAUUGGGACUGAGACACGGCCCAG
rnacentral:rRNA from 1 species